rnacentral:rRNA from 1 species
UACGUAGGGCGCAAGCGUUGUCCGGAAUUAUUGGGCGUAAAGGGCGCGUAGGCGGCCCUCCUUGUCGCGUGUGAAAGCCCCGGGCUCAACCUGGGAAUUGCGCGCGAAACAGGAGGGCUUGAGUUCGGGAGAGGAGCGUGGAAUUCUCAGUGUAGAGGUGAAAUUCGUAGAUAUUGGGAAGAACACCGGUGGCGAAGGCGGCGCUCUGGACCGAGACUGACGCUGAGGCGCGAAAGCGUGGGGAGCAAACAGG